rnacentral:rRNA from 1 species
CCUACGGGAGGCAGCAGUGGGGAAUAUUGGGCAAUGGGCGCAAGCCUGACCCAGCAACGCCGCGUGAAGGAAGAAGGCUUUCGGGUUGUAAACUUCUUUUGUCAGGGAAGAGUAGAAGACGGUACCUGACGAAUAAGCCACGGCUAACUAUGUGCCAGCAGCCGCGGUAAUACGUAGGUGGCAAGAGUUGUCCGGAUUUACUGGGUGUAAAGGGCGUGUAGCCGGGUUGACAAGUCAGAUGUGAAAUCCUGCGGCUUAACCACAGAACUGCAUUUGAAACUGUUGAUCUUGAGUACUGGAGAGGCAGACGGAAUGCCUGGUGUAGCGGUGAAAUGCGUAGAUAUUAGGCGGAACACCGGUGGCGAAGGCGGUCUGCUGGACAGCGACUGACGGUGAGGCGCGAAAGCGUGGGGAGCAAACAGGAUUAGAUACCCGAGUAGUC